rnacentral:rRNA from 1 species
UACGUAGGGUGCGAGCGUUAAUCGGAAUUAUUGGGCGUAAAGGGCGCGUAGGCGGUGCGGUAAGUCUGCGGUGAAAUCUCCCGGCUCAACUGGGAGGCUGCCGUGGAAACUGCCGUGCUUGAGUGUGGGAGAGGUGAGUGGAAUUCCCGGUGUAGCGGUGAAAUGCGUAGAUAUCGGGAAGAACACCCGUGGCGAAGGCGGUUCUCUGGGACGGUACUGACGCUGAGACGCGAAAGCGUGGGGAGCGAACAGG